rnacentral:rRNA from 1 species
UACGAAGGAUCCAAGCGUUAAUCGGAAUUACUGGGCGUAAAGCGUGCGCAGGCGGUGAUGUAAGACAGAUGUGAAAUCCCCGGGCUCAACCUGGGAACUGCAUUUGUGACUGCAUAGCUAGAGUACGGUAGAGGGGGAUGGAAUUCCGCGUGUAGCAGUGAAAUGCGUAGAUAUGCGGAGGAACACCGAUGGCGAAGGCAAUCCCCCUGGACCUGUACUGACGCUCAUGCACGAAAGCGUGGGGAGCAAACAGG